rnacentral:rRNA from 1 species
GACGAAGGUGGCGAGCGUUGUUCGGAAUCACUGGGCAUAAAGCGCACGUAGGCGGUGCCGUAAGUCGGAUGUGAAGUCCCUCGGCCUAACCGAGGAACUGCGUCCGAUACUGCGGUGCUUGAGGAUCAGAGGGGUGCAUGGAAUUUCCGGUGGAGCGGUGAAAUGCGUUGAUAUCGGAAGGAACUCCGGCGGCGAAAGCGAUGCACUGGCUGAUUUCUGACGCUGAGGUGCGAAAGCCAGGGGAGCAAACGGG